CAGCAGCCGCGGUAAACGUAGGAUCCGAGCGUUAUCCGAAUUCACUGGGCGUAAAGCGCGUGUAGGCGGUUCGGUAAGUUGGAUGUGAAAGCUCCCGGCUCAACUGGGAGAGGACGUUCAAAACUGUUGGACUAGAGGGCGGAAGAGGAAAGUGGAAUUCCCGGU
rnacentral:rRNA from 1 species